UACGUAGGGGGCAAGCGUUGUCCGGAAUUAUUGGGCGUAAAGAGCUCGUAGGCGGUUUGUCGCGUCUGCCGUGAAAGUCCGGGGCUCAACUCCGGAUCUGCGGUGGGUACGGGCAGACUAGAGUGAUGUAGGGGGAGACUGGAAUUCCUGGUGUAGCGGUGAAAUGCGCAGAUAUCAGGAGGAACACCGAUGGCGAAGGCAGGUCUCUGGGCAUUAACUGACGCUGAGGAGCGAAAGCAUGGGGGAGCGAACAGG
rnacentral:rRNA from 1 species